rnacentral:rRNA from 1 species
GACGAACGCUGGCGGCGUGCUUAACACAUGCAAGUCGAACGGUAAGGCCCUUCGGGGUACACGAGUGGCGAACGGGUGAGUAACACGUGGGUGAUCUGCCCUGCACUUCGGGAUAAGCCUGGGAAACUGGGUCUAAUACCGGAUAGGACCACUGCCUGCAUGGGGGGUGGGGGAAAGCUUUUGCGGUGUGGGAUGGGCCCGCGGCCUAUCAGCUUGUUGGUGGGGUGAUGGCCUACCAAGGCGACGACGGGUAGCCGGCCUGAGAGGAUGACCGGCCACGCUGGGACUGAGAUACGGCCCAGACUCCUACGGGAGGCAGCAGUGGGGAAUAUUGCACAAUGGGCGCAAGCCUGAUGCAGCGACGCCGCGUGAGGGAUGACGGCCUUCGGGUUGUAAACCUCUUUCAGCACCGACGAAGCGCAAGUGACGGUAGGUGCAGAAGAAGGACCGGCCAACUACGUGCCAGCCGCCGCCGUAA